CAAUCGUCCGUCUCCCACACCAAGCAGUCGUCCGUCUCCUCCGUCUCCAACACAAUCCGCCGCCGCUUUCUCCUCCCAUCCCCGUCUCACAUCCCGUCGCUUCCGCCGUCGGCCGAUUGAGUGUUUCCCGAAUUGUUCGUCCGCCGUCCCUCCCCGCACUCAGGCACGCGUACACCCAUCUUCCUCGCUCGCCUGGUUCCGUGGUUCGUGUACGAUUCAGAGCGGAGUAGGGGAUCAAUUGAUGUCAGGUUCGGCUUCCAUCCAAACCGGCCGCCGGCCAGUCCACCGAGGGGAGAGCCCAGAUUGUCCACGCGAAACCCUAGACCCCGCGCGCGUACCAUCUCCGCCGCCUCGCCCAGUUCUUGCUCGCCUCAGCUCGCGGGGAUGGAGCAGGACGCGCCGCCCGUCCCCUCGCACCAGGCCCAGGACGGCGGCGCCGUGGACGGCUGGGCGCGGAAUGACAGCGAGCCCCCUCCCGUACGGCGCUCAGGCGGAGUGCCCCGAGGUCGUAGAUCCUCCUCCUUGCCGGCGCUUCCGCGGCCACGUCUCCACUGCCGCCUCCGCGUGUGCGACCCUCAACGACGACUCAGUGGGGAGGAGCCCUGCGACGACCUCGACGACGCCUGCUCCCCCGACCACAACCGCUGCGUCCAAGAAAGCCACAUGGAUUGGGGAUAUGUACCUCGGUUUGGGUUUAAAGGGGCAAUCUUUGAGCAUUUGUAUAUCAACUAUCGAGGAUCUCAGGUUGACAUGGACCGCACUAUGAUCAAGUGCAUUCUGGUGCUAUGAUGAUUGUGACAGAAGAUGUUAGCUGUAGAAGCAAUCGCUAUGUCUCAGCUCCAAUAUUAAAAAUCAGUGCACCUGAAUUACGACACAAUUUUUGUCAUCUGGAACUGCACUUAUAAGGUGUUUGGUCUGAAAGCUACACUCCUGAAUACAAUGUGAUAUAAAAGGUUCAUGAAAUCAUCAGGUAUGGAAAUGCUUGACCGUUUUUGUAAAUUACUUAGUACAAUAUUAUCAGUUUGUUUUUUGCAUUAUUUCCCAGUUCUCUUGCAGUACUAUUCAACAACCUAUCUUCCUGCCUACUAGAUAAAAGAGGGGUUUUGUUUACUUAACAUGGUUGCCUGAUUAACAUAGUCAUGGUUUCUGUUAGUUAUUUUUUCCACUACCGUAGCAACAACUUAUCUUCCUACCUACCAGAUAUACUACUCCUUGAUUGCUUAGCUCCCGGUUUAAGAAGCUCCACCAUUCUUUUAUAUGAUAUUAGAAAAAAGUUGAGUUCUAACUUUGUUGAAAGGCACACACAGUUCUGAUGUUCUGGGGCCAAUGUUCAUUUCUAGAGGCAAAUACUCCCGGAUUUCUUAGUGAACUAUAAUCCCAUCUAGAUAACCCCCCUCGAUAUAGCUCCCUUUAUUUGCACGACACAAUCUAGCAUAUGACGGCUAUGAUUUGGAUUGUGUGUGUUUCUCCAAAAACUAGGAUUAUAUGCCUGAGAACAAACAAAUAAAGUUAUAAACUUACCUCAAAGCCUAUGGGUUGACUGAAGAUUGAUAAAUAGUUUCAGAUGCGAUAUGGUCUCAUAACAGUAGAAAUAAACUUCGAGGGAAAGAGAACCAUAAGUAUAGGUGACUGCAUAGUAGAAGACGUGUAAUCGUGUUGCACUAUACUGUCUUUAUAGAAGCCGACAAAAUCAGAGACAUCCUAAAUUUGGUUUUCUGUUCUUGUCAGUUAAGAAAAGAAACAUUUACUCUUGGAUUAUCAGUAAGGGAAUAUGCCUUAUUAGCAUACUCUUAUGGUGGUUAUUAUUGGUCAACGUUGUGAGGAAAAAGAAGAAUAUUCAGAUUUUUCUAUUUGUGGUUAUAUCUUUUGGAUAAACAAUAGAAGGGUAAACUGCAAAGAAGAAACAUAACGACCACCAGUAGUUAUAUCUUUAUUUUGAAUUAAACUAAAGUUGUCAUGAUUGCAAUAUUUUAGAAUAUUCAGAUUUGUUCAAGAUUUAUGGUGAUUAUCACAUUAACUCUGAAACUGAACUAUUUGUGUCGGGCCAGAGAAGCGUAAUUUCAAUACAAACUGCAAUUGCUUGCGCAAGAGAAAUCAACUCAAUACUACAAUUUUCCAUAUGAAUGUAGUAAGAGGGGGCGUACCAUUGUAAACCGAUGUAGGGUGAAGGCUAGCCGCAUCUUUGGCGUGUGGUCAAACCCGACAAGCUGCAACUAUGUGGAGCAUCCACAUUACUGCCACCACAUGCUUGCUAAAACAGUUAAUAUGUUCGUCCCCGUACAUCGGCCACAUCUUCGGUGAGCAUGCUUGAUGGCAAAAUCGGGAAACUAUUGUUGUAUUGAGUAUCCAGAGGUGAUAACCGUCAUGAAAAUCACUGCAUGGAUCGAUGAUAUCCCACACGGGCAUCUCAACAGUUCUAUUUGGGCCUCAUUCCCCUAACACGCUAGUAAUUGUCUCCUUUCGUGUAUUUCUCUUAGUCUCACACCCAAACACUUCAUGAUCUGAGAGAGGGAAUGCCAACAGCCAUGGCGGCAGUGUCCCCUCCGUCCAUUCAUGCAACUUGAGAGGCUCUAGCGAUGACACGUGAGAGGCAUCGGCGUCACUAAGUUUGCCACCAUCCUAGCCGCGACGACAAUGCGAUAGAGCAUAUAGUGGAGGGCAGAGAAAGAUAGUCGAGGGAGAUGGCUCAUCAGAAGAAUCCAGAACACGUGGAUGACCAGUGUAGUAGAGAAGAGGAUGAGGGGGAAUUACUAGGGAAGCCCAAGGGGACAAGCCAAGUGAGGUAGCCUCAGGUAAUGAACAAGGCGGGGAAGCCGCAUGUGAUGACGAACUUGAUAAAGAAGCCAUUAGAGGUAGAAGAAACUUCAAUCCCUAGGAAGUAGCGAAGAGGACCAAGAUUAGACAUAAGAAAUCCACUAUGAUGAGCCUUCACAAAGGCAAAUGUACUUAGAGCCAUAGCCAGUGUUAUCGAGAUAUAGAAGAAGAGUUCGACCAUGAGUUGAAAGGUGGACAAGUGUAGGAUCAUGAGCAUCGAAAACUAGCCGUAGUCACCAUCGAGACGAAACGUUCACAAACCAGGCAUGAGAGGUUUGGUUAAGGCCAUAAAAAAGUGACGAAGAAGACAAACCAUGUCAUCAAGAAGAGAAUACCCAGGUGGUGGCUACAUGUAGACCUCAUGCAACUCAACAUUAAGGAAGGCAUUCCUGACAUCAAGCCGAGAGACAGACCAGUGGCGAACAUAAGCCACAAUGAGAAGUGUGCGAAGGCCACGGGAGCAAAUGCUCAUUGUAGUCUUGGCCAUGUUCCCAAGGAAAGCCUUGCACCACUAGAUGAGCUUUGUAACACUCAAGAGAACCAUUAGUGUAUUAACAUUAUAGACACACUUACAAGCGAUGGGACGAGCACAGGGAGGAAGAGAAAUGACAUCCCAUGUGCCGAUGCGCACAAGAGCAACAAUCGCAUGCCGCCAUUCGGGAUGAACAGAUGCGUCAUGAUAAAAAGUCGUCUCGAGAAAAGCGGCGCCAGAAUAACCAUAGUGGUCAAUAGGCGGAAGCGAGAGCUCGAAAGCCAUAAGUAGGCUGAGCUGGAGGCGAUGCAUUGCCAACAGGAGAGGACAUUGUAGUAGAUGGAGAUGGCUCGUCAGAAGGAUCCAUAACACGCGGACCACAAGUGUAGUGAAGAAGAUGAUGAAGGGGAAUCAUUGGGGAAGCCUCAUGGACGAGCCAGGUGAGGUAGCCUCAAGUAAUGAACGAGGUGGGGAAGCCACAUGUGACGACGUGUGGGGUCACAUAUUGUAGUAGAUGGAGCUUUGUAACACGCUGGGAUAGGUGGGCGAGGGCAAUAAAUGAGCGAUAAGUGUAUCGGGAAAAUUGAGGGAAGUAUCCUCAAUUGGGGGGGGGGGGGGCGAAGCAGAGGAUGGACGUGCAUAAAAAGGAUGAGACUCAAUGAGAAGUCACAUAUCGAGAAAUGCGCAUACGAUGACUGACAAGAUCCCAACACUGAUAGCCCUUGUGCUCAUCACUGUAACCUAAGAAUACAUUCAACAGAUUGAUCAGACAAUUUGGUGCAUGAAGAACGUAGCAAACACAACCAAACAAAGUGUUUAGUACUCCAUCCGUCUGAAAAUACUUGUCAGAGAAAUGGAUGCAUCUAGACAUAUUUUAGUUCUAGAUACGUCCAUUUUUAUCCAUCGGGGGGGGGGGGGGGCGAAGCAGAGGAUGGACGUGCAUAAAAAGGAUGAGAUUCAAUGAGAAGUCGCAUCUCGAGAAAUGCGCAUCCGACGACUGACAAGAUCCCAACACCGAUAGCCCUUGUGCUCAUCACUGUAACCUAAGAAGGCAUUCAACAGAUUGAUCGGACAGUUUGGUGCGUGAAGAACGUAGCAAACGCAACCAAACAAAGUGUUUAGUAAUCCAUCCGUCCGAAAAUACUUGUCGGAGUAAUGGAUGUAUGUAGACAUAUUUUAGUUCUAGAUACAUCCUUUGUAUCCAUUUGUGCGACAAGCAAUUCUGGACGAAGGGAGUUGUCAGGGGAAUGCCCACAAAGACGCCCGGAAUGUCACCAUGUAGAGCAAAGGAGGGAUGAUUAUUGAUGAGGUAGGUGGCUACGAUCAUCAACGCACUAGCCGCCUCAUGAAGGUGGCGAUGCUUGCGCUUAGCAACACCAUUCUGACCACGAGCACAAGACGAGAACCGAGCAAGUGUGCUUUUCUCAACAAGGAAUUCGUGCAGCAAAUGAGGGAUAUACACACAAGCAGAAUCUACACGAAAGACAUGGAUAUGAGUGGAAAACUGAGUAUGAACCAAGGUGGCAGACUUCUUAUAGAUAGACCUCACUACAAGAAGGCAUAAAAUAUAUCGACUUGUGUCAAGCGAUGGCCUCCUUUCAAGGCAAAGGCAGCUGGAUCCCAAACAUCAGAGUGAACAAGAUCGAAAGGACGUCGAGACAGAGUCUCGCUCUAAGGAUAAGGCAAUUGAACGUGUUUACCCAACUAACAAUCUUGACUGUCUAAAGACACAUUACCAGAGACAGAUCAAAGGAGACCACGUCGUACUAAGGAUGAGAGUCAAGAACCACACAUGCGACUGGGACGAUCAUGCCAGAACGAGUGGGUAGACGAGGUAAGUGAGUCGAAGGGACUGGCGGCGGGUGUAGCAGAGGGAAGGCGAAGCCUGGCACACUCCAGAGGGCGCGUGACUCAUAGCGCUGAGGGCCAACACCAAGUAGAGAACCCGUGUGCCGAUCCUAAAUCGGAACAAGAGUCGAAGUUGAGAAUGACCCUACAACCAAAUUAAAAAUCUAACCUCCUGAAAUGAGCUGACUGUUAAGUAUCAUUAGCAGUAAGAACAUGUACAUGAGAAUUUAGAGGGCCAUUGCGGUCUCGACUGCUUGUGCGGCUAUGGCGGCGCGCAGCAGGUAACACGAGAUGUGGGAUUGAGGCGUCACACAUAGCAGGCGAAGGAUGCCCAGCUGGACUGGUAGGGAGCAGAGAGUACACGUGAGGUGUGGCAAAUCUGGUAUCUGCAUGUGGGUUUGUUACUAGGCUUGGUUGGAUCAUAGUUAUGAUUUGUGAUAGAUUCCUUCCUUUGAAGAUUGAAGCAGGAGAACUUUAGGGUGUAGUAUGAUCAACCUGAGAUAUAUCGGAUUUAUAUAGGUAUAGUAUGAUUGGCAUGAGUGUGGUAUUGGUGGACUAUUGGAUCAUCUUGGAUAUUACUACUUGGAUUCUAGGUUGGAGGUAACUUGGGCAUUUGGAUUUGUGAUAUUUUGACCUAAGCUUAGUAGCUUGUAUGUGCACCAUAUGGAUAUGGGCAUGUAGAUGAUAAAUGGAUCGGAGUUGGUAGACUUUGAUGAUUUUGCUAGCCCUCCUCAUAUGUAUUGGACUUAGAUAACUAUGGUACUAGGCUUGGUUGGAUCAUAGUUAUGAUUUGUGCUGGAUUCCUUCUUUUGAAGAUUGAAGCUGGAGAACUUUAGGGUGUAGAGUUAUCAACGUGAGAUAUAUCGGAUUUAUAUAGGUAUAGUAUGAUUGAAAUGAGUGUGGUAUUGGUUGACUAUUGGAUCAUCUUGCAUAUUGCUACUUGAAUUCUAGGUUUAAGAUAACUUGGGCACUUGGAUUUGUGAUAUUUUGACCUAAGCUUAGUAGCUUGUAUGUGCCCCAUAUGAAUAUGAGCCAUGGAGAUGAUACAAAUGGAUAGGAGUUGGUAGACUUCGAUAAUUUUGCUAACCAUCCCCAAAAAUGUUAUAUACAAGAUCAUCAUGGUCGUGGAGGGAAAACUAGGCAUGACUCAACCCAAUGUAUAAUAAGAAAUAUGAUUUUGACCUUGCGAAUGGAAAUACAUGAACAUGCAGCGCCAACGGAAAAAAAUGUUAAUUUAGGGGAUUCUGGUACGAAGCCACCUUGCAAGAGGAUAUUGAGUGCAGGCAACCCUACGUUGGUGAAGGACCCUUCCUUGGCGUCGGGGGAAAUGAAGUGACAGGGGUAUUAAGACCGUGAGGGCAAAAUUGGGACAAGUGACUCAGCUCAGGGUUCCUCUUUGCAAGUUCAAGUGAAAAGGCAGAGGAUGGCAGGGCGUGCCGCUCUUGAUAGUGUUUUCAUUGCUUCUUCAUACCUCUCGUGCACUCUCCGUUUCCCGCCGAUUCGACUUGGCGUCCUUACCUUGUUUGAGGGUUAUGUGUCACGGACUUGGUUCCGCAUCCCACGUUCCCUUGCUGGGAGUCCCUAGCCUUGGCAACAGGUAGCGACGUGCACUUGGGCGCUUGGCGUCCUUGCGUAAGUUCGGGGGCGGUGCCCAAGCUUGCAGCUAUGGCGACAACUUGCAUGGGAGCAGAUGAUGUAGGAACAAGGCAGCACACGAGUAACUCGCAGCCAGGGAAAUGAUACCUAGCCGGACAUGCAGGCAGUGGAGAGUACACGGGAGGUGUGGGUAGGGGUGAAAACGCUGCAGGGAGCGUACUGCUGCUGCCGUUAGUUAGCCUUUAGAUCCUGAGCCGAGUGGCGAGGGUAUGACGAUAGGGGAAGCGGGGAAGAUUCCGUCCUUUGAAGAUUGAAGAUGGAGAACUUUAGGGUGUAGUAUGAUCAACCUGAGAUAUAUCGGAUUUAUGAUUGGCAUGAGUGUGGUAUUGGUGGACUAUUGGAUCAUCUUGGAUAUUACUACUUGGAUUCUAGGUUGGAGGUAUCUUGGGCACUUGGAUUUGUGAUAUUUUGACCUAAGCUUAAUAGCUUGUAUAUGCCCCAUUGGAUCAUCUUGGAUAUUACUACUUGGAUUCUAGGUUGGAGGUAACUUGGGCACUUGGAUUUGUGAUAUUUUAACCUAAGCUUAGUAGCUUGUAUGUGCCCCAUAUAUGGAUAUGAGCAUGGAGAUGAUACAAACGGAUCGGAGUUGGUAGACUUUGAUGAUUUUGCUAGCCCUCCCCAUAUUUAUUGGACUUAGAUAACUAUGAUACUAGGCUUGGAUUAUAAUUAUGAUUUUUGCUAGAUUCCUUUGAAGAUUGAAGCUGGAGAACUUUAGGGUGUAGUAUGAUCAACUUGAGAUAUAUCAGAUUUAUAUAGGUAUAUAUGAUUGGCAUGAGUGUGGUAUUGGUGGACUAUUGGAUCAUCUUGGAUAUCACUACUUGGAUUCUAGGUUGGAGGUAACUUGGGCACUUGGAUUUGUGAUAUUUUUACCUAAACUUAGUAGCUUGUAUGUGCCCCAUAUGGAUAUGAGCAUGGAGAUGAUACAAAUGGAUCGGAGUUGGUAGACUUUGAUGAUUUUGCUAGCCCUCCUCAUGUGUAUUGGAUUUAGAUAACUAUGAUACUAGGCUUGGUUGGAUCAUAGUUAUGAUUUUGUGCUAGAUUCCUUUGAAGAUUGAAGCUGGAGAACUUUAGGGUGUAAUAUGAUCAACCUGAGAUAUAUCAGAUUUAUAUAUGUAUAGUAUGAUUGGCAUGGGUGCGAUAUUGGUGCACUAUUGGAUUAUCUUGGAUAUUACUACUUGAAUUCUAGGUUGGAGAUAACUUGGGCACUUGGAUUUGUGAUAUUUUGACCUAAGCUUAGUAGCUUGUAUAUGCUCCAUAUGGAUAUGAGCUUGGAGAUGAUACAGAUGGAUCGGAGUUGGUAGACUUUGAUGAUUUUGCUAGCCCUCCCCAUAUGUAUUGGACUUGGAUAACUAUGAUACUAGGCUUGGUUGGAUUAUAGUUAUGAUUUUUGCUAGAUUGCUUUGAAGAUUGAAGCUGGAGAACUUUAGGGUGUAGUAUGAUCAACUUGAGAUAUAUCAGAUUUAUAUCGGUAUAUAUGAUUGGCAUGAGUGUGUUAUUGGUGGACUAUUGGAUCAUCUUGGAUAUUACUACUUGAAUUCUAGGUUGGAGAUAACUUGUGCACUUGGAUUUGUGAUAUUUUGACCUAAGCUUAGUAGCUUCUGUAUGCUCCAUAUGGAUAUGAGCAUGGAGAUGAUACAAAUAGAUCGGAGUUGGUAGACUUUGAUGAUUUUGCUAACCCUCCCCAAGAAUGUUAUGAGUACAAGAUCAUCAUGGGAGGAUGAUUUGGAUUAAUUGGAAUAGAUGACAAUUUCUAUGGUAUGUGCCUUUUUGGGGCAGCUGAUCUUGCUUUUAUUAUGUGUUGGAUGCAAUAGUAGUAGGAGAGUAUGACUUAUGAAGUGAUAUUAUAUUCGUGGACAAAUAUAUCUUUAAUAAACCUUGGAACAAUUUGGAUUUUACUUAGGUGAUUGUGAUCUUGAAAAACAAAAUCUCGUGGAUGAUAACUUCUAAUUUUUGUAUCUAUAGUCAUCAAGUGCAAGCUUGCUUUAUAUUGGACUUUCAAACCGUGAUACUAGGCUUGGUUGGGUCAUGAUUAUGAUUUGUUCUAGAUUCCCACCUUUGAAGAUUGAACCUAGAGAACUUUUGGGUGUAGUAUGAUCAACCUGAGAUAUAUUGAAUUUAUAUAGGUGUAGUACAAUUAGCAUGAUUGUGGAAUUGGUGGACCAUUGGAUCAUCUUGGAUUGAAUUAGUUGUAAGGAAACAAAGAUCUUUGAGUAAUAGAAAUGGUGUUUGGUUAGAUGAUAGAACUACUUGGAUUCUAGGUUGGAGAUUAAUUGGGCACUUGGAUUUGUGAAUUUUUUUACCUAAGAUUAGUAGGUUGUAUGUGCCCCAUGUGGAUAUGAGCGUCGAGAUGAUACAAAGGGAUUGGAAUUGGCAUACUUUGAUGGUUUUGAUGGCCCUCCGUAAGAAUGUUGUGAGUGCAUGAUCAUCAUGGAAGGGUGGUUUGGAUUAAUUAGAAUAGAUGGCAAUUUUGUUGGUAUGUUCCUUGUUGGAGUAGCUGAUCUUGAGAAAUGCGCAUUCGCCGACUCACCAGAUCCGAACACCGACAACCCUUGUGCUAAUCACUGUUAACCUAAAAAGACCCACUCAACAUAUUGAUCAGACAAUUUGGUGCAUGAAGAACGUAGCAGAGGCAACCAAACAAACAAAGUGUCUAGUAGUUAGGAGAAUGCCCACAAAGACGCUCGAGAGGAAUAUCACCAUGUAGAGCAAAGGAAGUAUGAAUGUUGAUGAGAUAGGUGGCUACGAUCAUCAACGCACUAUCUGCCUUAUGAAGGUGCCGAUGCUUGCGCUCAGAGCGGCACCAUUCUGAGCCUGAGCACGAGGAUAAGAGAACUGAGCAAGUGUGAUAGCUUGCAUGUGCCCCAUAUGGAUAUGAGCAUCGAGAUGAUACAAAUGGAUCGAAGAUGGUAGACUUCGAUGAUUUUGCUAACCCUCCUCAUAUGUACUGGACUUAGAUAACUACGAUACUAGGCUGGUUGGAUCGUAGUUAUGAUUUGUGCUAGAUUCCUUCCUUUGAAGAUUGAAGAUGGAGAACUUUAGGGUGUAGUAUGAUCAACCUGAGAUAUAUCGGAUUUAUAUAGGUAUAGUAGGAUUAGCAUGACUACGGUAUUGGUGGACUAUUGGGAUCAUCUUGGAUAUUGCUACUUGGAUUCUAGGUUGGAGAUAACUUGGGCACUUGGAUUUGUGAUAUUUUGACCUAGGCUUAGUAGCUUGUAUGUGCCCCAUAUGGAUAUAAGCAUGGAGAUAAUACAAAUGGACCGGAGUUGGUAAGCUUUGAUGAUUUUGCUAACAACCCCCCCCCCCACCCCCCACCCCAAGAAUGUUACGAGUACAAGAUCAUCAUGGGAGGAUGAUUUGGAUCAACUAGAAUAGAUGGCAAUUUCAAUGGCAUGUGCCUUUUUGGAGCAACUGAUCUCGCUUUUAUUAUGUGUUUGUGCUAGUUUAGAUGCAAUAGUAGUAGGAGAGUAGUACUUAUGAAGUGAUGUUAUAUUGGUGGAUAAAUAGAUCUUUAAUAAGCCUUGGAACAAUUUAGAUUUACUUAGAUGAUUGUGGUCUUGAAAAAAAAUCUCAUGGAUAUUCUUCUAAUUUUUGUAUCUAUAGUCAUGUCAUCAACUGGAAGCUUGCUUUAUAAAAUUGGACUUGGAUAACCAUGAUACUGGGCUUGCUUGGAUCAUGGUUAUGAUUUGUGCUAGAUUCCCACCUUUGAAGAUUAAAGUUGGAGAACUUUUGGGUGUAGUAUGAUCAACCUGUGAUGUAUUGAAUUUAUAUAGGUGUAGUACAAUUAGGAUGAUUGUGGAAUUGGUGGACUAUUGAAUCAUCUUGGAUUGAAUUAGUUGCAAGGAAACAAAGAUCUUGGGGUAAUAGAAAUGGUGUUUGGUUAGAUGAUAUAACUACUUGGAUUCUAGGUUGGAGAUAAAUUGGGCACUUGGAUUUGUGAUUGUUUUACCUAAGCUUAGUAGCUUGUAUGUGCCCCAUAUGGAUAUGAGCAUCGAGAUGAUACAAAUGGAUUGGAGUUGUUGGCAGACUUUGAUAGUUUUGAUGGCCCUCCCUAAGAAUGUUAUGACUUAUACAAGAUCAUCAUGGGAGGAUGGUUUAGAUUAAUUAGAAUAUAUGGCAAUUUGGUGGUAUGUGCCUUGUUGGAGCAGCUGAUCUCGCUUUUAUAAUGUGUUUGUUCUUAUUUAGAUGAAGUAUUAGCAAAAGCGUAGUACUUAUGAAGUUGUAUUAUAUUGGUGGAUAAAUAUAUCUUUAGUUAACCUUGAAACAGUUUGGAUUUACUUAGGUGAUUGUGAUUUUGAAAAAAAUAUAUCGGUGGAUAAACUAAUUUUUGGAUCUAUAGUCAUCCAAUGGAAACUUGCUUUAUAUUGGACUUAGAUACCAUGGUACUUGGCUUGGUUGGAUCAUGCUUAUGAUCUGUGGUAGAUUCGCACAUUUGGAGAUUGAAACUAGAGAACUUUAGGAUGUAGUAUGAUCAGUCGGAGAUAUAUUGAUUUGUAUGGCUGUAAUGAUCAACAUAAUUGUGAAAAUUGAUGGGCUAAAUCAUCUUGGAUUGAAUUAGUAGUAAGGAAACAAAGAUCUUGGAGUAAUAGAAAUAGUGUUUCCUUUAAGAUUAGAUGAUAUAACUACUUGGAUUCUAGGUUGGAGAUAACUUGACCUAAGUUUAGUAGCUUGUAUGUGCCCCAUAUGGAUAUGAGCAUGGAGAUGAUACAAAUAGAUUGUAGGUGGUAGACUUUGAUGGCCCUCCCCAAGAACGUAUGAGUACAAGAUCAUCAUGGGACAAUGGUUUGGAUUAAUUAGAACAAAUGGAAAUUUCGGUGGUAUGUGUGCCUUGUUGGAGCAGCUGAUCUCGCUUUUAUUAUGUGUUUGUGCUCAUUUAGAUGCAGUAGUAGCAGCAGCGUAGUACUUAUUCAAAGAUGAAUCCAAGGGUGAAGGUUUGGUUUUGCUAAUUUCAAUCAUUAAGGUUCAUUAGUUAUUUUGAUAUUCUCAAAUCUUAUUGGAUGAUGUUUUGGUGUUGAACUCGAGUUUUUUGGUCACUCAUGAACGUGGAACUUGAUCCAUCAGACGAUCGCAAAUUCUCGACCCCUCUUGAUUCUUCGCUUGCUCAGUACAAUAAUUUAGUCUCCAAAGAUUCUGAUUUGGAUUAUUAUUAUUAUUGGUUGGUUCUCUAAAAAUUGGGAUUAUAUGGUUAGGGCCCGGGGUGACUUAUCUUCUUGCCGACCUGCGUUUGGAUGAUCAUUACUUUCUCUAUUUAAUUUUUUCCUCUCCACAUCUCACCUUUAGUCAAACAAUUCUAACUUGCAUUUAUUGGUGGUUUUCUAGAAAUUAGGGGUUAUACGGCUCAAUAGGGGUACUUAUCGUCUUACUGAUCUAUGUUUGGAGAUCAUUACUCUCUCCAUUUAAUUUCCUCCUUUGCAUUGUUCAAUUUUAGUCCCUUAUAACAAUUCUAAUUUGAAUUUAUUGGUGAUUCUCCAGAAGUUGGAAUUAUACAACCUAGCGGGGGUUGACCAAGCUCUUUAAAAAAUAGUCUUAAGACCAAAGGCAUUACCAAAAGCCGCCAACGGACCGACCACCGCCAUGACCUCAAUUUGCGCAAGGGUUUAUGAACAACACCACAUCAUCUGUGUACAAGGUUUAUGAACAACACCGGAUCAUCACCGCCAUGACCUCCUGCAUCACUGCUCGGCUAGGGCGAGGCUGAAUCCAGUCCUGCUCCUUGUUACAUCAUUUGGCACAGUUGACCCAAUGGUGUGGCAUCUCCUCCAGCGGCGGUGCACCAUCCUCAUCAUCACCACCACCUCCCUACGCCGCAACGGGUAAUCAGCCAGCCGCGGUGGAUAGAACGUGAUUUGAGUCCACGUGUACAAGCACCGGGUAGCAUAGGAGGCACACCUCCCCCUUGCCACCGUCAAGGCCGAAACCUGGCGAGAGGGAGACAUGCAUGAGCGGGUCGGGGCAGAAAGCACAUGGCUUCACUAAGCAUCUUUGUCGGCACCUCGUUGGGGUCGUCCACCCAUGCCCUGAUGACAAAGUACGAGAGGUCGAGCUUGUCGAAGGAUUCGAUGGCCAUAUGGUAGAUUAGGCAUUCGGGCAACAGUUCUUGGGCGGUUUGAGGCGAGAACUCCCACAGGGGAUGCGUUGGAUGGACAGCCUAACGCUGUAGCAGCAUUGAACAGCCUAACUGCAUCCACCCCACGAACCAUGUCGAACCACCGGCAGUGCGUGAAGCUGGCGAAGAAAGAUCCUAGCUUCAUGAGAGAGACCUGAAAGUCGUUUGUUCGAAAGCUCCGGGAAGUCGUCCUUGAUGCCAUCAACAAUUUUUACCAGGAUUAGAGACGACCUCGUACCCGCCACCAUGAGCACCAGCGCCAAAUCCCAUAGGUAAGAACAUAUCCUUGAUGAGGUACCUCGUCUUGCGCGAGCGGGUGUUGCCCCUCCACCGGGUUGUACACGAACCUAGCCGACAUGGAAGGCUCCAGCGACGAAAGGGCGGGUGGCUCCUUGUCGGGAAAGGUGAACCUAGAAUUAGCCGGCGAUUCGGGUGGUCGAGGGGUGGGGGGGGACCAGCUUGGAUUGGACUGAUUAGCGGCAGCGGGGGUGGCAGCUGCACUCACGGCCUUGGCGGUGGUCAAGGCGGGGCUAAGAGUAGUGAUGGACUCAUUAGCGGCGGCCAGGUCAUCAUGGCGGCGCAUGAAGUUCCUUCUGAAGCACAUCCUCUAGCCCAAGUGGUACAUUUGUUCAUUUGUGAUAUGUUCUGUUAGUGUUAUGUUCUCGUUGUCUCUUGCUCUGUUUCUCUUGCCCACAGGUACAUUUGUUCAUUUUCGUAGACCUGCUAUGUUCUAUUGUAAUUCGAGUUCAAAUGUCAAGUUGCGCCGCCACAAAAUGCUGCUACUUUAACUUCUGUAAGCGCAGGGAGUAGCGUAGGCGUCCGCUGCAGCUGCUCACAUGGAACGUAUGCCCUGUUGCAGCCUCGCAGAUCAGUUUAAGGUACUGUUAAUGAACCAAAAGUUAAUGUUGUUGGCCUUGCCAAAAUGCCAUGAAGCUUAACAUUCGAUAGUUCCUUCAAAGGGGUCCUUCAGCCUCCAAGGAGAAGGGAAGUGAUGUCUGAUAGGGAAAGAAACUAGGCGAAGCUCUGGAUGCUCGAUCGAGUACGCACCCAAUUAGCACUCUACUUCGUCGGUUGUCCACUGAAAUUUGCUCCAUGACAUCUUGCUUGCCAUGUGGUCACCUUACCUCAAAUUUGCUCCAUGACAUCUUGCUUGCCAUGUGGUCACCUUACCUCAAAUUUGCUCCAUGACAUCUUGCUUUCCAUGUGGUCACCUUACCUCAAAAUUGACAUAUUAUAAUCUAUGAACUACUACAAGUAAACUAUACAACCAAAUGAUUGUUCCAAAAAUUCAAAUUUGCACCAUGCUUUCCACCUGAUCUGCCAGUUUAACUAUCUUAAUUGUACCGCAGACAUUUGAUGUGUGGUAGUACGUGUGUGAUUAUAAUCUCUACAUAGACUUCAUAAUUAUGCCUGACUUUUUCUGAGGAAUUGUUGAAGUAUGCCUUUUAUUUGGGUUGUUUCUGCAUUUGCAGUGUUGGAGGUGUUAGUGCAAGAUUGUAGAGUUGGAAAGUAUAGUAAAACGUCUGUUGGUGCAGGGACUUGGUGAAGCCAUCAGCCUCGACUGUGUCUGCUUCCCCGAUGGUUUUGACUUCUGACUAGUGAUUCUGAUGCAUAUUACUUGAUGAUUCGGUCUUUGUGGCAGCUUUCAGUUUGAACUGGCAUUCAGUGGUUUCAUCCUCUUUGGUGCAGCCUGGAGUUAGUAGUGUGCACAUCUGAAUCUCUUGACUUUUUCCUGAAGCAUAUUACGUGGUUUAUGGUGCCUGCUAACUUGCAUGCGAUUUUUAUGGAAUCUGAUCUCGUUUUUUGCUCCCAGUAUAUACAAAAGGCUAGAAGUAAAUGAUGGAAGAUCCUUUGGUCUCAAACGAGGGUCCUACUUUCAUACCCAAAGUUUGUAUAGUAGAUAAUCAAAUAUUGGCCUUUAGCUUGCAAAUGUAUCACCUUAUAGAAGUAAAGGUUGCAUCUACAUGAGCUCUGAUUAUCUCCAUAUAUACUUGAAUUGCUUUGGGGUCACGCUUGGAUUUGUCAGACUACCAUUCUACAUGCUGUUCUCGAUGAUUACACUUGAUUUGUUAAUUUAUGUACCUUAUGUCAAAAAACAUUAUCCAAAAUUAGUUUUUGGUAUACGCAGACUUUGAAAUUUGUUGAUAGAGAAAGAUCACGCCUAAUUUGCUGGCUCUGUUGACACAGUACUGGCCUCCUGACUUUGUAGUUGGAUAAUGUUGAUGACUCGGUAUGCGGAGAGAGGUUAGGAAUUGUUGCUAUGGACUAAAACAAUGCAGAGUUGAAGGUUCUGAACUGGGAACUUGAACAAACAGUUUGCCUACCUUUCUUGUCGAAUUGAUUUUUUUAGAAGUGAAUGUUCUUCUGGUUGGUGCUUCUUCAGUGGGAUCUGGACCAUGGAAUUUUCAAUUGCAUCUGCUUGGUUCACUGGGAAUUUCCUAGUUUUAAUUUGAUUGACAACUAGCAAAACAGUCCGGCUAAUUUGAUGAUUAAUUCCUACUGAUUGUACAAUUUCAACUCAAGUUCCUGCUGAUUCUACACUUUUCAACCCAAGUUACAUUGUACCAUAUGCCAGUUUGUUUCAUACCUCGUCCAUCCUGGAUUUUUAGACGCAAAGCAUCUGGAUUUUAAAACAAGAAAUAACAUGUCUUUAACAAAAUUAUUCACUCAAAGACCAUGCCCAAGAUUGGAUCUCUCAUCUUUACAGUAAAUUUGGACAGCAGGGAUCUCUCAUCUUUACAGUAAAUUUGGAUAGCAGGGAUGUUCAGUAGAAACGCUAUAAUAGCAUGGAGGCAUUGUUUCUGAACUCGAGCACACAUGUGCUCUUUAUCUGGGCGGUUCGUCAUAGCGUUGGGAUGCGGUGCAUUUACUUUCUGUGUCAGGCUGUUGUUCACUGGAAAAGGGGGAAAUGCAGAAAUACGGCCGACGGGUAUCUUGUAUGGUGGGCCAGGUUUGUGGUGGAGGAGCACCUCCUUUAACGAUUCAAAACAGGGCUGUGGCUCAUGCCGUCAUUCCCGUCCUGAUCCGUGGCUCGUUUAGGGCCUCAGUAGCCGAGUAAAUGGAGGGAUGGGUUGCUGGGCAGAGUUCUCUCCUACCUCCGGCUCCUGGUUUUUCCUAUUAUCGAGUGAGGCUAGAUGGGCGGCGGAGCUUCUAUUCGAAGGAAACAAAGGCUAGCGCAGAAGAUGGAAUUUCUGAUGCAAUCGAUUAAAAGAACCACCGUGCUCGAGGACGUUAACGAUGGCAACGUACUCAUGGAGCCACUACACUGCCAGUGGUCGCAACCGUUGCAGAUCCGCUGCCGCCCAUGGCGGCAGUGAGUGCGGAAGGCCAGAUCUGUGCGGCUGAUGGCGUGGUCGAUACUGAAAUCGAUGGUUUACUGCAAGCAUCCGAGCAGUCGAUUACUCGAUUUGUUAGAUCGACCCAAAAGCCCCAGGAUGGACUCGAAGUGAGGAUCGGUGCUGCCGCACCAGGAAGGUCACCUUGUCCUAAUCGCACUAGUGCACUGGAGAAGGCAAUUCAUGGUUUUGCGGAAAAUCCAGGAGAUGAUGUGAUUGUCCCUGCACUAGGAACAAGCUUUGAUUGUUUGAGUGAAGCCUUCGACUAUUGCCAUUGGACUUUGAUUCUUUUGGGUGAAGCAUACGACUUUUACAAGCUUCGAUUCUUUGACAAAUCUAUAUUUUAGUAAUCCUCCUUGUUUCCUGAAACUGAUGUAUAGUGGUAUGGAAAUGGAUUUCUAAAGUGACAGUAAAUUAGACAACUAUUUUACGAUGUGUAGCCAAAAGCCAAAAGGAUAAUUGCACUAUUAUUAGAACCAAAUAUGAUUUCAGUCUGGAGAAAAUCUGCCUUUUC